UCUUGCCCGCCACGGUGUUGAACAUGGAGGAAACCACCCGGUUCACGAACCUGCUUUUCUGGUAGUCAUUGAUCUUGAUGACUUGCUUCCAGUAGUUGGCCACCUCCGGGAGGCCAUUGCACUCGCAGAUGUAGACCAGGUUGAGGAUGUCCUUCUGGAAGCAGGAGCCACCGAACCCAACGCUUGCGUUCAGGAACUUGGGCCCGAUCCUGCUGUCCUUCCCGACAGCGUAGGCCACCUCGGCCACAUUGGCCCCUGUGGCCUCGCACAGCGCAGAAAUGGCGUUCACCGAUGAGAUCCUCUGAGCUAGGAAGGCAUUAGCCGCGAGCUUGGAUAGCUCGGCAGACCACAAAUUGGUGGUGAGGAUUCUGUCCUCCGGAACCCAAUUGGCGUAAACCUGUUUCAGAGCUUGGACGGCCUUCCGGCCCUCCGGGGUCUCCCGCCCGCCGAUGAGCACUCUGUCAGGGUUGAACAGGUCCUGGAUCGCCGUGCCCUCCGCAAGGAACUCCGGGUUGGAGAGGAUCUGGUAGCGUAUGCCUUUGCUGUUGUGGGUCAAGAUCUUCUCG
rnacentral:lncRNA from 1 species